AGAGUUUGAUCCAGGCUCAGGACGAACGCUGGCGGCGUGCCUAAUACAUGCAAGUCGAGCGAGCUUGCCUAGAUGAUUUUGGUGCUUGCACUAAAUGAAACUAGAUACAAGCGAGCGGCGGACGGGUGAGUAACACGUGGGUAACCUGCCCAAGAGACUGGGAUAACACCUGGAAACAGAUGCUAAUACCGGAUAACAACACUAGACGCAUGUCUAGAGUUUGAAAGAUGGUUCUGCUAUCACUCUUGGAUGGACCUGCGGUGCAUUAGCUAGUUGGUAAGGUAACGGCUUACCAAGGCAAUGAUGCAUAGCCGAGUUGAGAGACUGAUCGGCCACAUUGGGACUGAGACACGGCCCAAACUCCUACGGGAGGCAGCAGUAGGGAAUCUUCCACAAUGGACGAAAGUCUGAUGGAGCAACGCCGCGUGAGUGAAGAAGGGUUUCGGCUCGUAAAGCUCUGUUGGUAGUGAAGAAAGAUAGAGGUAGUAACUGGCCUUUAUUUGACGGUAAUUACUUAGAAAGUCACGGCUAACUACGUGCCAGCAGCCGCGGUAAUACGUAGGUGGCAAGCGUUGUCCGGAUUUAUUGGGCGUAAAGCGAGUGCAGGCGGUUCAAUAAGUCUGAUGUGAAAGCCUUCGGCUCAACCGGAGAAUUGCAUCAGAAACUGUUGAACUUGAGUGCAGAAGAGGAGAGUGGAACUCCAUGUGUAGCGGUGGAAUGCGUAGAUAUAUGGAAGAACACCAGUGGCGAAGGCGGCUCUCUGGUCUGCAACUGACGCUGAGGCUCGAAAGCAUGGGUAGCGAACAGGAUUAGAUACCCUGGUAGUCCAUGCCGUAAACGAUGAGUGCUAAGUGUUGGGAGGUUUCCGCCUCUCAGUGCUGCAGCU
rnacentral:rRNA from 1 species